rnacentral:rRNA from 2 species
UUUAUUGGAGAGUUUGAUCCUGGCUCAGGAUGAACGCUGGCGGCGUGCCUAAUACAUGCAAGUCGAGCGAAUGGAUUGAGAGCUUGCUCUCAAGAAGUUAGCGGCGGACGGGUGAGUAACACGUGGGUAACCUGCCCAUAAGACUGGGAUAACUCCGGGAAA